GCACUUCUGAAGCGUCCCACAAUAAGACGAAACGGCCGUCCAGUGC
rfam:Schistosoma rodhaini strain Burundi genome assembly, scaffold: SROB_scaffold0001208